rnacentral:rRNA from 1 species
CUGGCGGCAGGCCUAACACAUGCAAGUCGAGCGGAUGACGGGAGCUUGCUCCUUGAUUCAGCGGCGGACGGGUGAGUAAUGCCUAGGAAUCUGCCUGGUAGUGGGGGACAACGUUUCGAAAGGAACGCUAAUACCGCAUACGUCCUACGGGAGAAAGCAGGGGACCUUCGGGCCUUGCGCUAUCAGAUGAGCCUAGGUCGGAUUAGCUAGUUGGUGGGGUAAUGGCUCACCAAGGCGACGAUCCGUAACUGGUCUGAGAGGAUGAUCAGUCACACUGGAACUGAGACACGGUCCAGACUCCUACGGGAGGCAGCAGUGGGGAAUAUUGGACAAUGGGCGAAAGCCUGAUCCAGCCAUGCCGCGUGUGUGAAGAAGGUCUUCGGAUUGUAAAGCACUUUAAGUUGGGAGGAAGGGCAGUAAGCUAAUACCUUGCUGUUUUGACGUUACCGACAGAAUAAGCACCGGCUAACUCUGUGCCAGCAGCCGCGGUA